rnacentral:rRNA from 1 species
CCUACGGGUGGCAGCAGUGGGGGAUAUUGCACAAUGGGGGAAACCCUGAUGCAGCGACGCCGCGUGUGGGAAGACGGUCCUCUGGAUUGUAAACCACUGUCCCCAGGGACGAAGAUGACGGUACCUGGGGAGGAAGCUCCGGCUAACUACGUGCCAGCAGCCGCGGUCAUACGUAGGGAGCGAGCGUUGUCCGGAAUUACUGGGUGUAAAGGGAGCGUAGGCGGGGAUGCAAGUUGGGGGUCAAAACUACCGGCUCAACUGGUAGUCGCACUCAAAACUGCAGCUCUGGAGUGAAGGAGAGGCAGGCGGAAUUCCUGGUGUAGCGGUGAAAUGCGUAGAUAGUAGGAGGAACACCAGUGGCGAAGGCGGCCUGCUGGGCUUUGACUGACGCUGAGGCUCGAAAGUGUGGGGAGCAAACAGGAUUAGAUACCCGUGUAGUC